rnacentral:rRNA from 1 species
UACGAAGGGGGCUAGCGUUGCUCGGAAUCACUGGGCGUAAAGCGCACGUAGGCGGCUUUCUAAGUCAGGGGUGAAAUCCUGGAGCUCAACUCCAGAACUGCCUUUGAUACUGGAGAGCUUGAGUCCGGGAGAGGUGAGUGGAACUCCGAGUGUAGAGGUGAAAUUCGUAGAUAUUAGGAAGAACACCAGUGGCGAAGGCGGCUCACUGGCCCGGUACUGACGCUGAGGCGCGAAAGCGUGGGGAGCAAACAGG